rnacentral:tRNA from 1 species
GGUUAAAAGGUGUCAACACGUCAAGUUGUAAACUUGAAGUAACUUUUUAGUUUUAACCA